UGCCUAGGAAUCUGCCUUGGUAGUGGGGGACAACGUUUCGAAAGGAACGCUAAUACCGCAUACGUCCUACGGGAGAAAGCAGGGGACCUUCGGGCCUUGCGCUAUCAGAUGAGCCUAGGUCGGAUUAGCUAGUUGGUGAGGUAAUGGCUCACCAAGGCGACGAUCCGUAACUGGUCUGAGAGGAUGAUCAGUCACACUGGAACUGAGACACGGUCCAGACUCCUACGGGAGGCAGCAGUGGGGAAUAUUGGACAAUGGGCGAAAGCCUGAUCCAGCCAUGCCGCGUGUGUGAAGAAGGUCUUCGGAUUGUAAAGCACUUUAAGUUGGGAGGAAGGGUUGUAGAUUAAUACUCUGCAAUUUUGACGUUACC
rnacentral:rRNA from 1 species